rnacentral:tRNA from 1 species
GGUCCCGUGGUGUAAUGAUUAGCACUCUGGACUUUGAAUCCAGAAAUCCGAGUUCAAACCUCACUGGGACCU